rnacentral:miRNA from 1 species
GAGAGCAUGCAAAAUGAAGAG